rnacentral:misc_RNA from 1 species
AAGUCGUAACAAGGUAACCGUAGGUGAACCUGCGGUUGGAUCAUUAACAAAUGAUUUGGUUUUAAACCAAAACACUAUGUGCAAUUAUAUCUGUCUCUGGUGGUCGGUUCCAAGUUUUUCUGUCUGUUUGCAAACUUCAACAAACCUCCCGCGAACCGCAAGGGGAGCGGGGUUCUAUGAUCUCCAGGUUUAAUGAAGGAUGUACGCUGCAGAGAAUCACGAUCACCGAAUGAACAAACAUUUUAAUAUUUUUUUCUGUCUGAAUCAUUCACUAUUUGUGCAAUGAAAAAACAACUUUUGACAACGGAUCUCUUGGCUCUC